UCCGAUCACGAUUAAAUAAGGAGUGAUUCUGGGCCGUUCAUUGCGAUCCAAUCUGGGCCAUCCAUCGCGAUUCACUCUGACCAUCCGAUCACGUUUGAAUCUGGCCGUUCGAUCGCGUUUAAGAGGGAGCACAUCUAGAUCGUCCGUGCGCACAAGAACAGACAUGGGCCAUUCGAUCGUGGGCACGUGGCUCGCCCGCGUGGCA
rnacentral:lncRNA from 1 species